AUACCAUGAUGCGGGUACUUCCUUAACAACUCUUUGAAUCUCUCCCAUGCAUCAUACAACGAUUCCCCUUCCAUCUGGUAGAAACUAUUAAUUUUCCCUCUUAACUUU